GUGCUCACAGCAGCAGCGCAUGUGCCAAAAUGGGAAAUAGACAGAGGAGAUUAGCAUGGCCCCUGUGCAGGGAUGACAUGCACAUUCACAAGCAAUCUAUCUUUUC